UCCUCGCCUUCCCUGCUACAGAGACGUUCACUACGUUCACUCGUUCACUACGUUCGCUACGUUCGCAACACUCUCACUUCCUUUUCCAGAAGACGUCAGCCUAAUCCGAAUUUCUGACGUAGACUACAUAACCCAGCAUUCAUCACUGCAGGUUAAUUUCCGGGUUAAGACGUCCGCUCUGGGUACAUCACCAUGGAAGCGAUCGGUUUGGUCACGUGGUGCCCCUGGUUACGCCCGGUGGCAGCUGUGGGGUCUGGCGCUCCGGCGGGGGCCAUUUUGCUGAAGGCAGCCUCAGAGUCAAGCUUGGCAGCUGGUCAAGCUGUUCCUUUUCCUCUUCUGCAGCUUGAGGCUUGGAGAGGAACAAGAAGGCUGGGCUCCAUCGAGCCCUUCGGAGACGAUGGUUUCCUCCAGCCUCCACUUGACGACCCUCCAUGGCGGCUGCGCCCUCCGCGCUGCACCCUCUGCCUCCCCUUCCAGCCCUCGGUGCCUCUCGCCUUCAGAGCCGCAGUCGUCCUUCCGCCUCAGAGACUGAUGAUAGUCUACGUGGGGGCGCCAUGAGAGGCGAGAAAAACUACUGCCGAGGAGCUGCCGGAGACCACGGCUCCUGCUCCCCGACACCUUCGCCUCUGGCCUCGGCCCUCUUGAUGCCGGCGGAGGCAGUCUCAAGUAGUUGGUCUGGGUCUGGAGGUGGUUUGUCAGGGGGAGACGAAGAGGAGACUCGGCUUCUUCAACUCCUCCGAACCGCGCCGGACCCUUCCGAGGCUUUCCAGGCUUUGCAGGCUGCUUUGCCGCGGCGAGGCUGUCGACUUGGCUUCCCCCGACGGAAGGAAGCAUUGUAUCGGGCCCUGGGCCGAGUGCUGGUGGAAGGAGGUAGUGAUGAGAAGCGACUCUGCUUGCAAUUCCUCUUGGACAUUCUUCGGGGUCAGGGGGAGGCAGGCCAGCUGGAAGAGGCCUUUAGCUUAGCACUUCUGCCUCAACUGGUUGUUUCCUUACGAGAAGAGAAUCCGGCCUUGCGGAAAGAUGCGCUCCAGAUCCUACACAUAUGUCUGAAACGUAGUUCCGGACAGGUGCUGAGAACGCUGAUACAGCAAGGACUGGAAAGUACCGACUCCCGGCUUAGAGCUUCCACAGCUCUGCUAUUCCCUAUCUUGCUUACACCUGAGGAUUUGUUGCUCGGCCUAGAUCUUACGGAGGUGAUAAUAUCCUUAGCACGAAAGCUUGGCAGUCAGGAAAUAGAAGAAGAAUCUGAGACAGCUUUCUCUGCUCUUCAACAAAUUGGGGAGCGUCUUGGCCAAGAGAGGUUUCAAUCCUAUAUCUCUCGCCUGCCUUCUGCCCUGAGGAGACACUACAAUCGCCGCCUGGAGACACAUUUCGGAAGUCAGGUUCCUUAUUAUCUGGAACUUGAAGCUUCUGGAUUGCCUGAAGAUCCCCUUCCCUGUGCAGUGACUAUUUCCAACAGUAACCUUAAAUUUGGGAUUAUUCCUCAGGAGCUGCAUUCAAGAUUGUUAGAUCAGGAAGACUAUAAGAACCGGACUCAGGCCGUCGAGGAACUAAAACAGGUGAUGGGACGCUUUAACCCUAGUUCCACCCCUUAUUCUAGUCUUGUCGGUUUCGUUAGUUUGCUAUAUAAUUUGUUAGACGAUUCUAACUUCAAAGUGGUUCAUGGCACACUUCAAGUCCUGCAUUUACUGGUUAUUCGCCUUGGAGAGCAGGUACAACAGUUCUUGGGACCAGUUAUAGCAGCUUCUGUCAAAGUGCUGGCUGACAACAAGUUGGUGAUCAAACAAGAGUACAUGAAAAUCUUCCUCAAGCUGAUGAAGGAAGUAGGUCCUCAACAGGUGCUUUGCUUACUCCUGGAACAUCUCAAACACAAGCAUUCUAGAGUGAGAGAGGAGGUGGUGAACAUUUGCAUCUGCUCCCUCCUAACUUAUCCCAGUGAGGAUUUUGACUUAUCCAAACUGUCUUUUGAUCUUGCCCCAGCUCUUGUAGAUAGCAAACGCAGGGUACGCCAAGCAGCCCUUGAAGCCUUUGCUGUGUUGGCAUCAUCAAUGGGCUCAGGUAAAACCAGCAUCCUUUUCAAAGCUGUGGAUACUGUUGAGCUGCAAGAUAAUGGAGAUGGAGUGAUGAAUGCUGUACAGGCCAGAUUGGCUAGGAAAACUCUCCCAAGAUUAACAGAACAGGGGUUUGUGGAAUAUGCAAUACUCAUGCCAUCAUCUGCCCAGGGUAGAUCAAACCAUUUGGCACAUGGAGCAGAUACAGACUGGCUUUUGGCUGGUAACAGAACACAGAGUGCACACUGUCACUGUGGUGACCACACCAGGGAUAGCAUGCAAAUUUAUGGAUCAUACAGUCCAACUAUCUGUACCCGAAGGGUACUAAGUGCGGGAAAAGGAAAAAAUAAAUUACCGUGGGAAAAUGAGCAGCCUGGAGUCACAGGAGAAAACCAGACCUCCAACUCUAAGGAUAUAGACCAGUUUUCAGCAUGUGAUUUCAUUCCAUCGCCAAAAUUAAAGCCCUCUCAAGGAAUGCCAGUCAGUGAUGAUGUAUGUUUUAGCAGAAAAAGAGUGUCUAGAAACUUAUUUCAGAAUAGUCGGGAAUUUAACCCAGAUUCUCUUCCUAUAUGUGCUGCUGGCCCUACUGGGACUCAUCAGACAGAUCUUUCUGGGAAAUGUGGACAACUUGGAUUUUCACAGAUAUGUGGUAAAACUGGCAGCAUGGAUUCUGACCUACAGUACCUAGGAACAACUAAUAGUCAUCAAGACAAAGUUUAUGCCAGCCUAAAUUCUGUCAGUAAGACACAGCAAACAUUUGAUAGUCAAACAGAACGUACUUCAUCAUACUCUGGUCCAAAUCCAAAUCCAGGAGCCUUCAUUCUUCCAUCAUAUCCUCUCUCAUCACCUCGAACUAGUCCAAAGCACACAUCUCUUACUGUGUCUCCAAAGAAGUCUCAAGAUAAUUCCGUUAAUUUCUCAAAUUCAUGGCCUCUUAAAAGUUUUGAAGGACUUUCAAAGCCAAGUCCACAGAAAAAGCUUGUCAGCCAAAAAUCAUCUGACCCUACAGGAGAAAACUCUCAAGAAAAACCAUCUCCAGUUCAACUUACACCUGCCUUGGUGAGAUCACCAUCAUCUCGACGAGGCUUGAAUGGGACCAAGCCUGUCCCUCCCAUACCACGGGGAAUCAGCCUUUUGCCUGAUAAAGCUGAUUUAAUUACAGUGGGACCUAAAAAGAAAGAGCCUGAUGAUAUUUGGAGGAGUGAAAAAGAUAGUCUUACAAUUGAUCUUUCAGAAUUAAAUGUCAGAGAUAAAGAUUUGGAUCAAGAAGAGAUGCAGAGCUCUCUUAGGUCCCUUCGUAACAGUGCAGCUAAGAAAAGAGCAAAACUGAGUGGCAGUACUUCUGAUCUUGAAAGCCCUGAUUCUGCAAUUAAGCUCGACCUGACUGUGGACUCCCCAUCUCGAUCUUCCUCUCCAAACAUCAGCUCAUACAGUGAAAGUGGAGUUUACAGCCAGGAAUCAUUGACUUCAUCUCUGUCGACAACUCCCCAGGGGAAGAGAAUAAUGUCAGACGUAUUUCCAACAUUCGGAUCAAAACCUUGUCCAACAAGACUUUCUUCUGCAAAGAAUAAGAACUCUCAGAUAGCUGAACAAAGCCCUGGUGCAGGGAUUACAAUAUCCAGUGUAAGCGUAAUUGGUCAACGUAUGAACUAUGGGUUUGGAUGUGGUGAUUUUGAAGAUGAUAGGUCACAUGACAUUUCACCUAGUGUUUUAAAAAUACAAAAUAAGGAACACCCAAGACAUUAUAAGCAUACAAAAGGAUUUACAGGGUCAUCUUCAAAUUUCCAGCAAAUUUCCAGUUUUGACCUCAUAUCUACAAAUACCUUAUCAGAAGAUUCAGUUGUAGUUGUUGGAAAAGGGGUGUUUGGAAGUCCAAAUUCAGCACCAGCAGCCUGCAGCCAAUCAGUGAUAUCUUCUGUGGAAAAUAGAGAUACGUUUUCAAUUAAAAGUAUUGAACCACCAUCAGGGAUUUAUGGAAGAGCAGUCCAGCAGAGCAUUCCAUCAUAUGUUGAUGUUGAGAAUGAAAAAGAUAUUAAAGUUUCUAUUUCAAAAUCUACUUAUGACAAGAUGAGACAAAAGAGAAAAGAGGAAAAAGAACUUUUUGACAUUAAAGAUUGUGAAAAGAAGGAACAGAAUCACUGGGAACAAAUGAAGCAUACAGGAACUGAGAAAAUAGUGUCUGAAAAUGAAACAUCUCCUGGUGCCAUUCCACAGUAUAAAGAAAGGAUGCCAUCCGUCACACAUAGUCCAGAAAUAAUGGAUUCAUCAGAACUACGGCCGUUUUCCAAACCAGAAGUAGCACUGAUAGAAGCUCUGAGGCUUUUAGCUGAUGAGGAUUGGGAGAAGAAAAUUGAAGGAUUGAACUUUAUUAGAUGCUUAGCUGUUUUUCAUUCUGAAAUAUUGAACACAAAGUUGCAUGAAACAAAUUUUGCAGUAGUUCAAGAGGUGAAAAAUUUACGCUCUGGAGUUUCUCGUGCUGCUGUGAUGUGCUUAAGUGAUCUUUUCACUUACCUGAAAAAGGGCAUGGAUCAAGAACUAGAUAAUACAGUAAAAGUUUUGUUGCAUAAGUCGGGAGAAUCAAAUACAUUUAUAAGAGAAGAUGUUGACAAAGCAUUGAGAGCUAUGAUCACUAGUGUGACUCCUGCACGUGCAGUUGUUUCUCUUAUCAAUGGAGGACAAAGCCAUUUACACAUUGCGGUAAGAAGAUGUGCAGCUCAGCACUUAUCAGAUGUAGUGGAAUUUAUGGAACCAGAGCGUAUUUUAUCUGGAACAAAAGAUAUGGCUGAACGUAUAUUACCAGCUGCUGCUAAAUUUGCUCAGGACAGCUCACCAGAAACCAGAUGAUACUCCAUACUUCUGGGUAGUGAGAUGCCAUGUCACAGGGAUGAUCUUCAUGAAAACGGCACAAGACUGUGUGAGUGGGCAGAAAAGUGGCAGAAGAACUUCAUUGUGGGCAAAUGUAAGGUAUUAUGGUCGAAAGAUGCUUUUCCUCAUGAUGUGUCAUCCUAACUUUGACAAAAUGCUUGAAAAAUAUGUCCCAUCUAAAGAUUUGCCAUAUAUUAAGGAGUCUAUUAAAAGUUUACGGCAAAAGGGUUUGGGAGAGAUACCACUAGAUCCUCCUUCAGCGAAAGGAAGACGAUCUCAUACUGGCAGUGUUGGAAAUACCAGGUCAUCAACUGUUUAUAGAGAUGCUUUCAGUUCAGCGGAAAGAGAGGUAACUGAAAUUCGUGAAUUUACCAGAAAAUCAGUUCCCCGCAAUUCCUCAGAAAGUGCUGAGUACAUUAAAGUCAUAACAGGUUUAUUAAAUGCAAAAGACUUUCGGGAUCGUAUUAAUGGGAUCAAGCAGCUUUUAUCAGAUACAGAAAACAAUCAAGAGCUUGUUGUUGGAAAUAUUGUGAAGAUCUUUGAUGCUUUUAAAUCUCGACUUCAUGAUUCCAAUAGUAAAGUAAAUCUGGUGGCUCUAGAAACAAUGCAUAAAAUGAUUCCUUUGAUUAGAGACAACUUAUCUCCUAUAAUCAACAUGCUAAUUCCAGCAAUAGUAGAUAACAAUCUGAAUUCCAAGAAUCCAGGCAUCUAUGCUGCUGCCACAAAUGUUAUUCAGGCACUGAUUCAGCAUGUAGAUAAUUACUUACUUCUGCAACCAUUUUGCACAAAAGCUCAGUUUUUAAAUGGAAAGGCCAAACAAGAUAUGACUGAAAAGCUUGCUGAUAUUGUUACAGAACUUUAUCAAAGGAAGCCCCAUGCCACAGAACAAAAAGUGUUGGUUGUUUUAUGGCAUCUCUUAGGGAACAUGACAAAUAGUGGCUCUCUGCCUGGAGCUGGAGGAAAUAUACGAGCAGCCACAGCUAAAUUAUCAAAAGUGCUUUUUACACAGAUGGGUCAGAAUCUGUUAAAUCAGGCUGCAUCUCAACCAUCACACAUAAAAAAGAGUUUAGAGGAAUUGCUCGAUAUGACAAUUUGAAAUGAAUUAUGGGUCUUUGAUGAAAUAUGGUUUAACGAACAAAACCGUUUACAUGAUGACAAAUGGAAGUUUUUUUAAAAUUAGAUUUUCAGUGCCUGCACUUCUCAUUCAGUAAACUAAGUCAAUAGCUAUUUUUGUUUGUAGCCUGUAAGUAUACUAUCAACCCUGUCACUUGCACCCAUCACACAAAAAUCUAAAAUGAUGUCUAAUAUUCAUGAAAUCUGACGCACAUGGGGUGAAUCCAAUUUUAAUAUUUUUGAGAAAAGUCCUGCUCAUUUGCACUAUUCUAUAUAGUAACUGCAAUUUUGUUGCCCUAUAUGUACAAUUAGACCUUUUAAUUAAAAAUAUACCUUUUAUUAUGUAAUCAUGUUCUGCUAUGUCUCAUUCCUCAGCCUUAUUUUAUGAAGUGGAAGAAGAGUCAUUAAACUAUGUUAUCACAAACUAAGUUUUGUGUGCUGUUUGUGAAAAACAUGUAUUUCUGAAAUCAGUCUGCUAAUAUGAUUCUGCAGUAUUAGCUUGCUUUUGCUGCUGUGUUAAUGUGAUAUAUUUGCUCACCAUUUGGGUUUAAUCAUCUACAUAAUUGUGAAAUUUAACAGACUAUAAUAAAGCAUGAUGACCAAAGUUUUAGAAAACAUUUAGACAUUUUAAAUGCACGUUUAAGGAAACGUGUCGAAUGUAACUUCCCUAUUUUUGUGUGCAAAACACUAAAUUUUAUUUCUGUAUGUCCUGACAUUAUAAAGGUGUUAUUUUGCUGCCCAGUUGUGUAAUUCUCAAAUAUAGUGCCAGGUAUUCUAUAGCUUUUCUCAGAAUUCUUGGGCUAUAAGUACUGUAUGCAUCUUAAAAAAGAAAAGAAAUGUUAUAAAAUAAAAGGAUUUAUUUCUGUA